GUGACGUGACGGCUAUUUGUGAGCUAACCGGAAGCGCAGCGGAGUCCUGACCAUAUCUGGACAUGUCCAGAUCGCCUGCUGUCAUCCUAUCCACACACACACAAGCUAACAGGCUGUUGAUGGACUCCGCGGUCUGAUGGGGCGACGUUACACGGCCACAUUAUUGACACAACACUUGACACUUGUUCCCACCGCUCUGCUGCUGCUGCUGCUACUGCUGUUGCUGCAUUCCCCCGUAUGACUGUGUCUCAUGGAUGUCGUCCUCAGACGUGGGCUCAUGGUGGCCCUGCAUCGUGCUGUCAGCAGCAGAUUCCGCUUCCCUGCACUGCGCGCUGCUCCUUUAGCCCCGUUCUCUCCUCGGUGUAGCCCUGCUGAGGGGGCUGCUUGUUUCUAGUGGUGGGUGGAGUACCUCUGUCCAGCAGCCAUGUCGGGCUUCAAUCUGCUGCAUCUAAUAACCAAGAGUCAGCCUGUGACUCUGAAGUCCUGCAGUCUUCCCUCAGGUCCACUGACUGGCUGCUGUGUGCCUGCUGUGCUCUGCCUCUCUAAAGCCCUAACACUUGGCUGGUGUGUCAGCAUGUCUUUACUGUUCCAGUCUGUGUGUGAUUGUUCACUGUAGAGGUCGACCGAUGUAUUUUAAAGGGUUCAUAGAAUAAAGGUCAUUUUGAAGCAAGAAAAAAGCCAAUAGCUAAUUUAUUGUCUGAUAGCCACCUACCCCUAAUCUCCAAGGAGAGAAGCAAAUGAUAAACAUUCAUUCAUUCAUUCAUUCAAUGUCUACCCAUUUAUCAUCCACAUUAGGGUCGCAUGGUUGCGCGGCCGCUGGAGCCAUCCCCAGCUGACAUGGGGCCUUUGGCCACACCCUGAACAGAAGACAAACAACUCUCACAUUCACACCUAUGAUUAAUUUAGAGUGUCCAAUUAACCUCUGUAGGUUUUUGGAAACCAGAGAAGCCGGAGAAAAAAAACCCCCUG